UUUGAUCAUGGCUCAGAUUUGAAACGCUGGCGGCAGGCCUAACACAUGCAAGUCGAACGGUAACAUUUCUAGCUUGCUAGAAGAUGACGAGUGGCGGACGGGUGAGUAAUGCUUAGGAAUUUNGCCUUUUAGUGGGGGACAACAGUUGGAAACGACUGCUAAUACCGCAUAANACNUACGGGUCAAAGGGGGCGCUUGCGCUCUCGCUGAAAGAGAAGCCUAAGUGAGAUUAGCUAGUUGGUGAGGUAAAGGCUCACCAAGGCGACGAUCUCUAGCUGUUCUGAGAGGAAGAUCAGCCACACUGGAACUGAGACACGGUCCAGACUCCUACGGGAGGCAGCAGUGGGGAAUAUUGCACAAUGGGGGAAACCCUGAUGCAGCCAUGCCGCGUGUGUGAAGAAGGCCUUCGGGUUGUAAAGCACUUUCAGUUGUGAGGAAAAGUUAGUAGUUAAUACCUGCUAGCCGUGACGUUAACAACAGAAGAAGCACCGGCUAACUCCGUGCCAGCAGCCGCGGUAAUACGGAGGGUGCGAGCGUUAAUCGGAAUUACUGGGCGUAAAGCGCACGCAGGCGGUUUGUCAAGCUAGAUGUGAAAGCCCCGGGCUUAACCUGGGAAUUGCAUUUAGAACUGUCAGACUAGAGUCAUCUAGAGGGGAGUGGAAUUCCAGGUGUAGCGGUGAAAUGCGUAGAGAUCUGGAGGAACAUCAGUGGCGAAGGCGACUCCCUGGAGAUAGACUGACGCUCAUGUGCGAAAGCGUGGGUAGCGAACAGGAUUAGAUACCCUGGUAGUCCACGCCGUAAACGCUGUCUACUAGCUGUGUGUUGUUUUUAAACGAUGCGUGGCGUAGCUAACGCGCUAAGUAGACCGCCUGGGGAGUACGGUCGCAAGAUUAAAACUCAAAUGAAUUGACGGGGGCCCGCACAAGCGGUGGAGCAUGUGGUUUAAUUCGAUGCAACGCGAAGAACCUUACCAUCCCUUGACAUCCAGAGAAUUUUCUAGAGAUAGAUUAGUGCCUUCGGGAACUCUGAGACAGGUGCUGCAUGGCUGUCGUCAGCUCGUGUCGUGAGAUGUUGGGUU
rnacentral:rRNA from 1 species